AUGGAAGAUACUUUGGAUCACCAGGAAUACUUUAGAGAUUAUUGUUUGUCUCAAAAAGGAAAACAUUUAUGGGAUCAAAUUAAAAUAUUGCGUUGGUAUGCUUGGAAUAUGUGCUCUAUGUAUGAUUAUACUUGUUACUCUAACAUGGAGGCUCCACACCUUUCCUUUCAAUGUGAAUUUAAUGAUAAUGAAAUAUUGGCUUCUUAUGCUAAUGGUGUAUAUGAUUACUAUAAUGUGAAACAAAUAGAAGAAUUUGUUGCUUUUAAAUGUGCUUAUGAAAUUGAAUCUUUGUUUGAAAAGUAUGAAGAUUAUGAUGAUGCUCUUUAUAAAUCUGAAAAUUAUGUUAUACUUAAAUAUUGA
rnacentral:rRNA from 1 species